GACGAACGCUGGCGGCGUGCUUAACACAUGCAAGUCGAACGGAAAGGCCCUGCUUUUGUGGGGUGCUCGAGUGGCGAACGGGUGAGUAACACGUGAGUAACCUGCCCUUGACUUUGGGAUAACUUCAGGAAACUGGGGCUAAUACCGGAUAGGAGCUCCUGCUGCAUGGUGGGGGUUGGAAAGUUUCGGCGGUUGGGGAUGGACUCGCGGCUUAUCAGCUUGUUGGUGGGGUAGUGGCUUACCAAGGCUUUGACGGGUAGCCGGCCUGAGAGGGUGACCGGCCACAUUGGGACUGAGAUACGACCCAGACUCCUACGGGAGGCAGCAGUGGGGAAUAUUGCACAAUGGGCGGAAGCCUGAUGCAGCAACGCCGCGUGCGGGAUGACGGCCUUCGGGUUGUAAACCGCUUUCGCCUGUGACAAAGCGUGAGUGACGGUAAUGGGUAAAGAAGCACCGGCUAACUACGUG
rnacentral:rRNA from 1 species